UACGUAGGGACCAAGCGUUGUUCGGAUUUACUGGGCGUAAAGGGCGCGUAGGCGGCUUAACAAGUCACUUGUGAAAUCUCCGAGCUUAACUCGGAACGGUCAGCUGAUACUGUUUUGCUAGAGUGCAGAAGGGGCAAUCGGAAUUCUUGGUGUAGCGGUGAAAUGCGUAGAUAUCAAGAGGAACACCUGAGGUGAAGACGGGUUGCUAGGCUGACACUGACGCUGAGGCGCGAAAGCCAGGGGAGCAAACGGG
rnacentral:rRNA from 1 species